CAUGCAAUCCUCUGAAGAUGGAUAGCUACCAAAUGAAAUCAGUGAUCUUGGGUGUUCACAAUGUUUCAGGUGCUGUCUACGUAUGCAGAAACACACAAGGUGAAAUCUCGUGAAGUCAGUGGGGCUAGGAUUUCACUCAAAGUCUCUGCCUCAAAGAGCUCCCAGUCUAGAAGGCAAACAUACCAAAGGCUGUGAAUAUUCCAUUUACCCUGUUCGCUGGGAAACUGCAAAAUGCUACGUACACAUUAUAAGAUGACACGAUGAAAGGGAAUUCUACCUUACUUAUCUACCUUCAUGAAGAGAAUUAAUGUGUGCAUGAUCAUCCACCCUACUCCCAGAAUCUCGGGAGUACAUGCACGAUUAUACAGACAACACAAUUUGUCAUCAUGAGGACAGUUUGUGAUGUGGAUUCGCAGAAUUAAAGAGAAAAACACUGCUCAUAGACUUUGUAUUUAAAGUUCAUAGUUUAUAUUCAGAAGGAGACUAUGAGAUCUGCUUGCUGGCCAUUCAAGUUUUUAUUCCACAGUUCUUUCUGUAAAUA